rnacentral:rRNA from 1 species
CCUACGGGAGGCAGCAGUGAGGAAUAUUGGUCAAUGGGCGCAAGCCUGAACCAGCCAAGUCGCGUGAGGGAUGACUGCUCUAUGGAUUGUAAACUUCUUUUAUAUGGGAAUAAAGUGUGGCACGUGUUCCGUUUUGUAUGUACCUUAUGAAUAAGGAUCGGCUAACUCCGUGCCAGCAGCCGCGGUAAUACGGAGGAUCCGAGCGUUAUCCGGAUUUAUUGGGUUUAAAGGGUGCGUAGGUGGGUUGUUAAGUCAGUUGUGAAAGUUUGUGGCUCAACCAUAAAAUUGCAGUUGAUACUGGCAGUCUUGAGUACAGUAGAGGUAGGCGGAAUUCGUGGUGUAGCGGUGAAAUGCUUAGAUAUCACGAAGAACCCCGAUUGCGAAGGCAGCUUACUAAACUGUGACUGACACUGAUGCUCGAAAGUGUGGGGAUCAAACAGGAUUAGAUACCCCAGUAGUC